rnacentral:lncRNA from 1 species
AAAGCCGGAAGCCGGGUCUUGGCGGCAGUCGACAGGAUCGCCUGACGCGGGCACAGCGUCCUCCAAGAGGCCACCUUGCUGAGAGGCAGACUUCCCAUCCACAAAAUGGGUUUCUACAGCCUCAGAAUCUGAGAUGGACCUCAAAGGCCCCAGAGUUGUAAGUUUCAAAGAAUCCAUUGUUGAAAGAUUCAAUGACAUACGAAUUCUGUCAGCUGGCUAUGGACAUACCAUGUUUGGGCGUCCUUGACCCAGGAUCAUGGGAUUUACCAUGGGCAAGCUGAAGAGGCUGGCUGGCCAGCCUGAACCUGCCACUCUCAGCCACAAAACCAAUGAGCAUGACAAGUUUGGGACCCUCAACUCCUGAGAAGUGCCCUCCUCUUCCCCCAACACUUACCACUGGGGAUAACUUGACCUUCUGGCUAAAGGCUCAUUGACCUUGACUAGCUCCUGGAAUCCAUAAAGACACAGGAAGACCAUCACUCCCCUAGCUUGGAACUCCAUUCCUGAAGGACCUGCUGUGGCUCCCUACUGUCUUUCAAACCAAGUUCUAUUUCUCAGUUCUUUUGGAGCCCCUUAAUAUCUUGUUCACUUCCAGAAAAAAACAAACAAAAAACUUCCCCAAAACAAGAAUAAGGAGCAGAAACAAAAACUCUGUCUUUGAGGAAAUCGAGAGACAUUUGUAACCCUGAACUACAAAGGAGGGAAAUGGAUGAAGUGGCCAGUGACAUAACCGAGAGGAAGAAAGUCAAAGCUAAAUGGAUGGGGCGUUGGCGGUGUUUCUUGUGUUUUGCUGUUCUGAAUAAAGCUGCUAUGAUCAUCUACAUA